rnacentral:tRNA from 1 species
GACUAGACUAGUAGCCUAGUGGACAUGGCAUCUGCCCGGUAAGUGGAACACUGUGGGUUCGAUUCCCAUCCCUGGACA